GACGAACGCUGGCGGCGUGCCUAAUACAUGCAAGUAGAACGCUGAAGAGAGGAGCUUGCUCUUCUUGGAUGAGUUGCGGACGGGUGAGUAACGCGUAGGUAACCUGCCUUGUAGCGGGGGAUAACUAUUGGAAACGAUAGCUAAUACCGCAUAACAAUGGAUGACACAUGUCAUUUAUUUGAAAGGGGCAAUUGCUCCACUACAAGAUGGACCUGCGUUGUAUUAGCUAGUAGGUGAGGUAAUGGCUCACCUAGGCGACGAUACAUAGCCGACCUGAGAGGGUGAUCGGCCACACUGGGACUGAGACACGGCCCAGAAUCCUAAGGGAGGCAGCAGUAGGGAAUCUUCGGAAAUGGGGGGAAACCUGACCGAGCAAAGCCGCGGGAGUGAAGAAGGGUUUCGGAUCGGAAAGCUCUGUUGUAAGUCAAGAAAGGGUGUGAGAGUGGAAAGUUCACACUGUGACGGUAGCUUACCAGAAAGGGACGGCUAACUACGUG
rnacentral:rRNA from 1 species